rnacentral:rRNA from 1 species
CAAGACAACUUUACGGAGUUGACGAUUGACGGAGCGAAGCGACGUCAAAGCGUUCAUUAAAGUCGAGUUGGCUUAGGGAUACGUUCGUUGGGUAGGGGAGCGUUCUGUAAGCCUGUGAAGGUGUGUCGUGAGGCAUGCUGGAGGUAUCAGAAGUGCGAAUGCUGACAUAAGUAACGAUAAAGCGGGUGAAAAGCCCGCUCGCCGGAAGACCAAGGGUUCCUGUCCAACGUUAAUCGGGGCAGGGUGAGUCGACCCCUAAGGCGAGGCCGAAAGGCGUAGUCGAUGGGAAACGGGUUAAUAUUCCCGUACUUGGUGUUACUGCGAAGGGGGGACGGAGAAGGCUAUGUUGGCCGGGCGACGGUUGUCCCGGUUUAAGCGUGUAGGUGUGUGUUCCAGGUAAAUCCGGUUCACUUUAACACUGAGGCGUGACGACGAGGCACUACGGUGCUGAAGCAACAAAUGCCCUGCUUCCAGGAAAAGCCUCUAAGCAUCAGGUAACACGAAAUCGUACCCCAAACCGACACAGGUGGUCAGGUAGAGAAUACCAAGGCGCUUGAGAGAACUCGGGUGAAGGAACUAGGCAAAAUGGUGCCGUAACUUCGGGAGAAGGCACGCUGACACGUAGGUGAAGUGAUUUACUCAUGGAGCUGAAGUCAGUCGAAGAUACCAGCUGGCUGCAAC